rnacentral:rRNA from 1 species
GACGAACGCUGGCGGCGCGCCUAACACAUGCAAGUCGAACGAGCGAGAGAGAGCUUGCUUUCUCGAGCGAGUGGCGAACGGGUGAGUAACGCGUGAGGAACCUGCCUCAAAGAGGGGGACAACAGUUGGAAACGACUGCUAAUACCGCAUAAGCCCACGGGUCGGCAUCGACCAGAGGGAAAAGGAGCAAUCCGCUUUGAGAUGGCCUCGCGUCCGAUUAGCUAGUUGGUGAGGUAACGGCCCACCAAGGCGACGAUCGGUAGCCGGACUGAGAGGUUGAACGGCCACAUUGGGACUGAGACACGGCCCAGACUCCUACGGGAGGCAGCAGUGGGGAAUAUUGCACAAUGGGGGAAACCCUGAUGCAGCGACGCCGCGUGGAGGAAGAAGGUCUUCGGAUUGUAAACUCCUGUUGUUGAGGAAGAUAAUGACGGUACUCAACAAGGAAGUGACGGCUAACUACGUG